GCGCAGAGACACAGCCGGCGCUUUCCCUGUAACUAAGGAAAAUCCCUUUUCCGCCUGGACUGUUACUUUAAUCAGAUGCUGGAGAAUUUCGAGGGAUAAGACACUUCCUGGUAACUAGAAGUACACAGGAGAGAGUGUGAGCAGGAGUGGAGCAGAGAGAGAAAGACAGAGAAUCCCUAACAGGCU